AUCACCAUAUAUACAUAAACAUAAGUUCACCAUAAUUAUUCAAACUUACCUAUUGAAUUCAUGCAAUAACUCUACCUAAGUUCACCAUAAUUGAAAUAUACAUAAACAUAUAUAUAGGCAAAAUUACAAUUACUAACAUUUACACACAAGACAAACUUUAAUUAAAUCCAUACGAACCCUAUACAUGCCUUAUAAAAGAUAGUGUAUGUUUCAAAAACUACUGAAAUAAGCUGGAUAGGGUGACUUGAUGUGCUGAUCUGAUCUGUUGACCUC
rnacentral:lncRNA from 1 species